AUUGGGGUGGCAGAGCAUGGUAAAUUGCAUAAGGCCUAAGCCCUUAAAGUCAGAGGUUCAAAUCCUCUCCCCAGUU
rnacentral:tRNA from 1 species